GUUUCUCUAGCUUAUUUGGUAAAGUGUCGGUUUGUGGCUCCGGAGAACAGGGUUCGAUCCCCGGAGAUACC
rnacentral:tRNA from 1 species